GAGAGCGAGCCGCUUCUAUAUAAUAUACAUUAUGUGCAUAUACACUGCAUAUAUACAUGUAUAUUAUAAUAUACUUCCGCAAAACGAUUCCGACGUUUGUGUUGUACGUACACAUGCGUGUGAGUGCGUGUGCGAGCGUACAACACUUUAACCGCAAUACCUAUACCUAUAUAUAUUAUACGACGAUGGUCACAGUUUUUUCAUUAUUAUUAUUAUUAUUUUUCUUUUUACAAUCUUUUAAACGAAAACGGUUUAAAUAAAUUGUACAGACCACUUUGUAUUGUGUUCUGCGCGUAGCAGCUAUAUAACGAUAUUAUAUUACAGCCGUUGCACCGCCGCCGCCGCCGCCAGUUGAGCGCAGCUGUGAGAGGCGCCGAGAGACGGGAGAGUGCGAGCACUAAGCCAGUCGAAAAAUAAAUAAAACAACCGUUUCCGAUCGGAUGACUACGUAUAUGAAAAAUAAUCAUCGUGUACCUUAACUGUAUAAUAACCAUAUUGUAUAGUAUGGGACUAUAAGCAUUAUAUUAUUAUAAUGAGGUGCCGUCGUAUCAAUAAAUCAAUUAGCAGACAAUGUACAACCGUGUAUGGGUCUACGAGUGUAUAGUUAUAUAGGUAAACGUACAUACACUCGUCGACACAUGGCAUUUCGUUAUGGAUUUAUAAAUACAAUUUUACCGUCUACACGACGUUUUCGCUGCGUAGAUUUGUCAUAAAAAACGAGAAGAUAAAAAAACACGAUUGCUCCAACGUGUUCUUACGACUGGCGAUCUGGUUUGCUUUUUUACAACUGGAUCUUGCAGUUUUUUUUUGUUUUUGUUUUUUUUUCUGUACAUUUAAAAUUAAGCUUAUUUCUUUGCUUUAUUACAACAUCUCGAGACUUAAUUUAUUGUUCUCUUAAUGUAUUCUUAUGAAGUACAUAUUUGCAUAAGGACUUUUGGAUUCGGUUUAUUGCUUUUUUUGUGUUCUCAAUUCAAUCAUCGACCAGUGUUGACAAACAAAAAAAACAAAAACAAAAAUACAGAAUAUUAAUGUAUUAUAGUUAAUUAAUAACACUAUCUUGUAUAAUAUGUCCAUGGUAACAAUAAUGCCACGCCCCCAGCUAAUUGUUUCGUAUUCAAGGACACAAUCACACAAUUUAUCCAAAAUAAGUCAUGUAGUCUCUUAGGCCCGAUUAUCAAGAACCUUGUAUUCAAUUUUCAAGCAUUUUGAUGGAGUGAAAAAUUAUUUACAGAAUAAAAUAAUCUCGAGGAUGGUCGAACUUUUUCGUAACCAUAGAUACUAUAAAAAUAUUUUAUUAAUAAAAUUAAAACGUUAACUUAUGUUUAUUUUAACGAUUAUUUUAAUAAGUACUGAGAAAUACAAAUCAGUUCCGACUCCGUUACGAGAAAUCUCCAUCAAAAUUGAAGAUCAGAAUACAUUUAUUCUAGAAUAAAAAACAUCUUCAGACGAAAAAAAUAAAUACCUAAAAAUACUCACAUCUUUGUAAAAUCAAUAUAUUCAUUGCUCCGCUCACAAAACGUACAUAUAAUGAGGCGGUGCACCUAUUUAUAAACGAAUGAAAUCAAGCAAAACUAUGGUAGUAUAACCUUCUCGAGUCUCGUCAAACGAUAUUAUGAUUAUAAAUAUUAUAUGUCGGUGUAAAUAAUGGGAAUGACGACAUCACGUUGACCUGAUGUUGAACACGUUUUUCCUAAAAAAAAAAAAACAUCAGAUACGAUUAAUAGAAUAAAAAAACUGUUAAAACACACAUAUAUAUAUGUAUAUUCGAACACCGAACGACAGACCUCGUCAUCGGCGUUUUCGUUAGCUUCGAUAAUAAUAAUAAUAUAUUGUACUGUUUUUGCUGAAAUUAAUACUUUGACGAUAACGUCACACAUUAUAUAUUUAAUAUAUUAUAUUGCACUCGUACGUCGUUGGUUUUUUACACGUUUGUGCGAUCCUUCGGUAUGAAAUAAAUAAUAACUGCUGCUAUAUACGCACAGUCGUGUUUCCAGACAAUCAUCAUUAUCUCAUUAGUUAAUAAUGUGACAAUGCUGUAGACGAGCUCGGCAGAAAAAUGAAAAAGAAAAAUAGAAGCCGUUUAACCGUUCGUUACGCACACAAUAGUGUGUAAUAUCAUUAUAUUAUUAUUUAUUAUAAUAUUUUAGUAUACCUACGCAGUAAGUAUAAAAAAACAUCCAUCGCGCUUUACUAUAUACCUACGUUAUUAUUACCCCGAUUUUAUCGACUUAUCAUUAUUUGUUCCGACGAUGAUGCUUUUGGUCGUGUGAAGAUUAUAUCCUAUAAUAUGCUCCUACUAUGUGUGAAUUUUCUGUGCGCGAUUGUAUGUGUUAUUAUUGCCGACAUAGGUAUUUUUUCUUUUUAAAUAACAAUGCGUACACUAAUUUUUUUUAAAUCUUUUUUUUCAAAAUUACCGACCGAUCGUGGACAUAAAAAUCUAUAUGCUGAAAAAAAAUCAAAACGACGAAUCAUCGCAGCGCCAAACAUAAUCGUGUAGGUACGUUAUAUAGGUACACUGUAAUAUUAUAUUCACAUAUUAUACGAUCAAUAUUUUGUCUACAUUUUGCCCAGUUACUCGUCGAUUAUACUAAAUUUCGAAAAAAUUAUA